GAUGAACGCUGGCGGCGUGCCUAGUACAUGCAAGUCGAGCGAACAGACGAGGAGCUUGCUCCUCUGACGUUAGCGGCGGACGGGUGAGUAACACGUGGAUAACCUACCUAUAAGACUGGGAUAACUUCGGGAAACCGGAGCUAAUACCGGAUAAUAUAUUGAACCGCAUGGUUCAAUAGUGAAAGACGGUUUUGCUGUCACUUAUAGAUGGAUCCGCGCCGCAUUAGCUAGUUGGUAAGGUAACGGCUUACCAAGGCAACGAUGCGUAGCCGACCUGAGAGGGUGAUCGGCCACACUGGGACUGAGACACGGUCCAGACUCCUACGGGAGGCAGCAGUAGGGAAUCUUCCGCAAUGGGCGAAAGCCUGACGGAGCAACGCCGCGUGAGUGAUGAAGGUCUUCGGAUCGUAAAACUCUGUUAUUAGGGAAGAACAAAUGUGUAAGUAACUAUGCACGUCUUGACGGUACCUAAUCAGAAAGCCACGGCUAACUACGUG
rnacentral:rRNA from 1 species